UCUCGACAAGAUUUAUGAAGAUCAUGCUCUAGUACAAUGACUUUUGCACGUGCACAUAUGAACUCCUAAAUCGAGUUGAAAUGUAGAAGGUUUACAAAUGUACUGUCAAAACAUGUUGUGCUUCGAGGAAAUCAUUCUACAAAUUGCAACGACAAAAACAAAAUCUAACAAAUUGCAGGAAUUUUACAAACAUGAACAAUUUAAAACCAAAUCACCGAACUGAUACCUCUAAAGAUGACCAAUAACCAAUUUAAAAGCCCUUUUAUUUAGCUAUCUUUGUAUAACAAACUACUAUAACAUCAAGUUGGUACUCAAUUUUGUAAGAUAUUGU
rnacentral:lncRNA from 1 species